rnacentral:rRNA from 1 species
AGCAGCCGCGGUAAUUCCAGCUCCAAUAGCGUAUAUUAAAGUUGCUGCAGUUAAAAAGCUCGUAGUUGAAUUUCGGGACCAAUUUGUCGGUCGUGCCUCGGUACGCACUGGCUUAUUGGUUUCUCCCUUCUGAAGAACCAUGAUGUCAUUUAUUUGGUGUCGUGGGGAAUCAGGACUGUUACUUUGAAAAAAUUAGAGUGUUUAAAGCAGGCUCACGCUUGAAUACAUUAGCAUGGAAUAAUGAAAUAGGACGUUUGAUUCUAUUUUGUUGGUUUCUAGGAUCGACGUAAUGAUUAAUAGGGAUAGUUGGGGGCAUUAGUAUUCAAUUGUCAGAGGUGAAAUUCUUGGAUUUAUUGAAGACUAACUACUGCGAAAGCAUUUGCCAAGGAUGUUUUCAUUAAUCAAGAACGAAAGUUAGGGGAUCGAAGACGAUCAGAUACCGUCGUAGUCUUAACCAUAAACUAUGCCGACUAGGGAUCGGAUGAUGUUAAUUUUUAAUUGACUCAUUCGGCGCCUUAAC